rnacentral:rRNA from 1 species
CCCUUAGAUGUUCUGGGCCGCACGCGCGCUACACUGAAGAAUGCAACGAGCUUAUAACCUUGGCCGAAAGGUCUGGGUAAUCUCCAAAUUUCGUCGUGAUGGGGAUAGAUUAUUGCAAUUAUUAAUCUUCAACGAGGAAUGCCUAGUAAGCGCAAGUCAUCAGCUUGCGUUGAUUACGUCCCUGCCCUUUGUACACACCGCCCGUCGCUCCUACCGAUUGAAUGGUCCGGUGAAGCGUUCGGACCGUGGCCUUUGGACGGUUCGCCGUCUGUUGGCUGCGGGAAGUUCGUUAAACCUUAUCAUUUAGAGGAAGGAGAAGUCGUAACA